GUUGUUUGUUCGGAGAAAAUUCGUGAUUCGAUGCGAUCGGUGUGCAGUAGUCAUUGGAAAUACGUCGUAAUGGCAUAGCAGUUCUCUCGACAAACAAAAUUCAGCUCGAUCGUAUACGUGGCGGGCAACCGGACGACGCUAUGAUUUUUCUGCUCGUAAUUGAACGAUCGAACAACGUGUAUGGCUUUGAUGGUUGAUCGCAACGAAGGAUGUCUUUAGGACCUGUUUUCGUUCGCGACACGUGCUUCUGUCCGAGUCCAAUGGAUGAAGCGAAUCGCACGCGUUUGUAAUGAAAUCCUCUGUUUUAGACUUAAAGCGACGUUUAUCGUAGGCUCGCGUUCGAUAAAUCGGUUUCGUUGGAUCUCGCGGCAAGACUGGAUCGGAGAUUGGUUAAACUCGUUUAGAGUUUAACAGAUAGCCGCUCAUUGGAGAGAACGAAUGGUACGAGAGAGUCGUGCUAGCAAAGCUUGGACAAGAAAAGUUGGAGAACUUAGCGGAAUAUAGCUAUACGGUUCAGUUUGUUACGUAUUAGGCGCCACAGGCAGUUCACGAUGUUUGGAAUCGACAUCGCGGUACAACGAAGGCUCAACGAGGGUCGAUCGUGUAAUCGAGAACAGAUAGGGUGGCACUGGUUUCAACGCGAACUCCAGAUGAUCGAUCAGGUCGAACGGAUUACAUGGCGAAUUUUAUGCUUUUAACUUAACCACGCACAAUACCUCGACCACUCGUGGAAAUUUAACAUUCAACUGUAACGAGUUUGAAAAAUAUACCCGCGAUUUAUCAUCGGCGAUAAUUCAACGACGUUGCAACGACAAACGGCUGGUUUACCCCUUUUCUCUCUUUUAUUGUUACGAGCGUUUCGAUAUCCGGACAAAAAGCGAGACAAGCUAGAGAAAAGGCGAGAGCAGACGGUCGAAAGCCGAUCGACUCGUCGUUAAACGAAACUAUUUAUUUUUAUUUCUCCGCGGCCAGACGGCGAAUCCCUUUAUCGUAGAAUCCUCUUACGGACUCCAAUUCUGAAAUACAGCCUCGAAACCAGACCACUAUAUGCUCCAUUUCGCCCUUUUAUUCUCAAAAGCUUCUCGUUUACCUUAUCUUCCGAUUUCAAGUCCAGUCUGUCUUGUAUUUCCUCCGAUUGUUCCCUGUGUAUCGAGAAUUUCGCCAAUCGUUCGACCAACUAUUCCAAUGCAGAUUAUGACCAAUGUUUGCGUUGAAAUAUUUGUAGCGGCACAUGAGUUAGAGGAUAAUUCAAAGCAUGUUGUUGUUUUGCCUCGGAGAAUCAAGAUCGUUAGGAUACACGUAAUGUGAGAAUAAAUAAACUCCGAGCAAAACAGUGUUGCCGCUACGUGCAACCGUCGCACAAUGGCGAAUUUGAAUUUUCCGACUCUCCCCGACCAGUAUAAAUAAUCGGACGCGAUCGCAAGGAAAUGAGUUACAGUCAGUUGUCGAUCAGUUGUUAACCAGUUAUCAACGAAUUAUCAGCGAUCUAAUUAACGAGUCAUUAGCGAUCUAUUUUACGACUUAUACACUGUCUUAGCGAAUCGGUUAGUACGAGCGUCUUUGCGUACAUUAUCUGUAUACUAAUUUAUCAUUUUAAAUAUAUUCGACGGUUUCAACAACGAGCAAUCUCGUCCAUUAAACCUCACCGACCAACCAUCCUCUACACAUAAACCUCUACAUAUUUGUCGAACAUCACUGUCGGACAAAUUCGCUGUCCUUGGAAAGUAAUUCGACUGAACCUUAGAAAACGUUAACAAAUGUUACAUAAACAUAGCAGACGCUUCGCGCGAUCGCCGACUUUCCAUAGUUUCUUACGUGUAAAGCACUCGAAUCUCGCGAAUGAAUAAAAUUGUAAUAUCUCCGGGAACGUGUAGCCACCGACAAUUUCUAUCUCGAGCGACUUCUAAAGUCUACCCUAACGUGACGCAAAAAGUUUCCACGAGUUGGCGCAAAAACUACGACAGACAAGUUUGAUAAGCCAUUAUCACGAAGAAAUCCUCUUUACGGAAGGAUCAGUGGACAGAAGAAUGUUGUCAUACUCGAGCUACUCCGAGCUACUCCAAGCUACUCCGAGCUGCUCCGGUUUUCACUUUAAUCUCGAUAUUCGUGAAAUAUUGUGAAAUAUAAGGUAGCAAAAAAGUUUGUAAGAUGACGUUCAAGUUUCGUUUACUCGAAUCGCUGUCAGCUUCGUAUUCAACGAGACCAGCGUAGGUGUUCGAGACGAGCAACUCUAAACAAGAAUGAUAAAUUAUCCGCGCGAAACAUCGGUUUUGACAGCUUGUAUCUUUGAUAAUGAAAUAUUAGGAUCAUGCUUGGAAAUUACUUCUUGAGAGCAGGCAAAACGAUACCAAGUCUUCUCGAAAUUCUGAAUUACCGUUAGAUGAAUAACAAGCAACUGUUUUUUACCAAAUUUCCUGCCCGAGUCCGAGAAUAAUGAAAAAUGGCAAGCAGCAAGAUUUAUCUCCUGCAAUGCUACAUCCACGGUAACCACGGAAGACGAGCAUUAAAGAUGACAAACGAUCUUGCCUCGUCGGUUAAUCUCCGUUGCUGCGAAGUAACGCGUUCUCGAUAGAAUGAUCGAUGCAAUAGCAAAAUGCUAUAGUAAGGUGUAAUAGCAAGAAGAUUCAAUAGAGCUAAAAGGCAACGAGACACGUU